GCGCGAUACAGGGUGACAGCCCCGUACACAAAAGCGCAUGUGCUGUGAGCUCGAUGAGUAGGGCGGGACACGUGGUAUCCUGUCUGAAUAUGGGGGGACCAUCCUCCAAGGCUAAAUACUCCUGACUGACCGAUAGUGAACCAGUACCGUGAGGGAAAGGCGAAAAGAACCCCGGCGAGGGGAGUGAAAAAGAACCUGAAACCGUGUACGUACAAGCAGUGGGAGCACAGGUUUACCUGUGUGACUGCGUACCUUUUGUAUAAUGGGUCAGCGACUUAUAUUCUGUAGCAAGGUUAACCGAAUAGGGGAGCCGGAGGGAAACCGAGUCUUAAUUGGGCGUUAAGUUGCAGGGUAUAGACCCGAAACCCGGUGAUCUAGCCAUGGGCAGGUUGAAGGUUGGGUAACACUAACUGGAGGACCGAACCGACUAAUGUUGAAAAAUUAGCGGAUGACCUGUGGCU
rnacentral:rRNA from 2 species